rnacentral:lncRNA from 1 species
UUGGUAGAGUACUUGGAAAAAUGAGCAGCAGACAAGAAAAUUGGGGGGAGAGCAUAAACACAAGGUUCCAUAUCCCAACAAAGGACUAAUCUAUUGGCAACCAUGUGGAGCUGGGCAGUUGGACUUCCGGAAAAUUCCCAUAACCUGAUCUCACCUACUUAGGUAAGAAUGAAUGGCACACCUGUUUUCCUACUUCACUUUGGUUCUGACAAACUUUUGCUGGUUUUAGUUGAUUGAUUACUUGAGCCUGUUCCUCAAAUGUGUGACUGCUUCCAAUUUUUUUCCAAUAUCAUGGCCAAGUUUGUGUGCUACAGCCAAUACAGCUGGUGCUUGUUUCUUAUUGAUUCAUUGAUAAAGAAUCUUGUCAGUGCAUAAUUAUAUCUGACCUAUGUAAAAGUUUCCUUGCUGUUUUUAAGUUGACUUUAGGUAAGAUAGCUCAAAUAUUUAAAACACAAUGAAACAGAAAACAGAACACAGUGAGGUCACUGAUCCCUGAUUAGUUUCUCUUGCUGGUUUUGAGUUGACUUUCAAUCAUAUUGCUGCAAUAUUUAAAACACAAUGAAAUAGAGUACUGAAUACAGGUCAAUGAUUCCUGAUAAGUACUAUAUUCAAACAUUUAAAACAGAAUGAAAUAGGCAAGUGAGAAAUAAAAAAAUAAAAAUCUGUACAGGCAAAUGACUUCCUGAAAAAAAAAAAUGUGGGGCAUUCCGAGAAUCGAACUCGGGACCUCUCGCACCCAAAGCGAGAAUCAUACCACUAGACCAAAUGCCCACUUGUUGAUGUUUAUGUUGUUUGGUUUCUACUUAAUGUGUUGAUGGAUUCCCUUUCCCCCAUCCUCCAUCAUGAUAGUAUCUCUACCAGGACAGUGCUGAGAUGAAAAUACAAAUUAUCUCAUUUUUUUAACUUGAAACAUCUGUUAAUAUUAUAUUGUCUAUCUCAUCAUUCAAACUUUGUGGUGGCCUUUUCAGAUAUGAAGCUGAGUAGGCUCUGGAUAGCAAAAACCAGAAUAAUAAAAUUGCAAUCUAGCCAAUUAAUGGCACUAAGGACUCUGAGCUCGUGGUCAUUUUCCAUUGCUUCUUGGUUACCCAAACCAUGGAUAAACAAAGAAAUUAAGGUUGAGAUCUUUCAUGAGUUUUGGAGUUUGUAUGCUUCAAAAUAUUUUUUGCCAUCUUUUCUUUUCUUCCUAACAUUCGGCAACAGAGCUUUUUGUUAGCCUGCAGAAAAACAAAAUGAGCUGCAAGGUUGAGUCCUCUUUGUUGCCAUGACACUUAAUCAGAAUGCUCAUAUAGCUUGAUAAUUUCCUCUUGCAUCAGAUGGUGAUCUACCCUCAAAAUCUUGAGCUUCUAUGAUGCUAUUUUCAAGAGCAAUUAAAUCACAAUGUGGAUCAUCUGUAAAGCAAAAUCAUACAUCAGGAAAAUUGUAAAGAACUUCCUUUGUAUGAUUAUAAAUAUGCUUCAUUAACCCAAAGUUUGAUUUUUCUUUCUUCUUAAUUUAUUGGAAUAAUAGGCUGCUUGUAAAUAUGUGAUUUACAAGCUGACUGGGUUAGACUUCUUGGUAGAAUACUUUCAAAAUAGAUAAGCAGCUGAAGGAAAGUUAGGUAGAGAGCUCCUAAACAUGAGAUGCCACAUCCCAAGAAAGGACAGAAUCUUUUGACAACCAUGUGGAGCAGUGAAGCUGGACUUCCAGAAACUUCCUAUGACCCGAAAUCACCUACUUUGGUAAGAAAGGAUGUUCUAGUUAUGCUCUAGUUGUCAAAUUUUUCUGGUUUUAAUUGAUUGAGUACUUGAAUUUUUUUGUUCAAAUGAAUGCCUGCUUCCUUUUUUUCUAGAAUCAUGACUAAGUGUAUGUGCUUAGGUUGAGGCAGGUGAUGCUUGUUCCUUAUUAAUUCAUUGACAAAGGAUAUCAGGGCAUGCUGACUUCUGUUCUCAACAAAAUUUUCCAUUGUAGUUCUUCAGUUGACAUUAGAUCAGAUUAGCUCAAGUAUUUAAAACACAAUGAAAUUGACAACUCUACUGUAUGGGUCAAUGAAUUUUUAUUUUAUUUUUUUUUAGAAAAAGUACAGGUGAAUUAAUUCCACAUAAAAAGUGGGGCAUUCCGAGAAUCGAACUCGGGACCUCUCGCACCCAAAGCGAGAAUCAUACCACUAGACCAAAUGCCCACUUAUUGAUGUAUGUGUUGUUUUGAUUCUGAUCAAAUUUAAGGGAUCAGUCACUAUUGAUCUCCAACUGCUCCUGUUAAUUUUUAAGCGAAACUACCUUCAUCUGAAGGAGCUUACUCUUCUUGGUGCCCCACCACCUGAGAUUUAGUAUUUUGUGAUGCCAAUGUCUUUAGCAGGAUGAUGUAGAACAUGAUAAAAUUACAUCUGGAUCUCAUAUUUUGAACCCAAAACAUCUGUUGGUAUUAUAUUGCCUAUUUCAUAGGCUCAAACCCUGUGGCAUCCUUCAGAGACAAGGAGUUGAUUUGGCCCUGGAUAGCAAGAACCAGAAAAGUAAAAUUGUAUCCUAAGUUCCUAACCAAGUAAUUGCACACUCAAUUCUUUGCCCAUCUCAUCGUUUUAGUUCUUUGGUUGCCCAGAAUAUAGAGGAAAAAAGAAAUUUAUUUUGAAACCCUUUCAUUAAUUUGGAGGUUGUUCUCUUCCAAAAUAUUCCUUUUCCUUUUUUCCUGCUUAAGAUUUCUCUGCAGCCAGCACAUACUGUUUGCCUUUGGGAAACAAAGUGAGCUGGAUGGUUAGUUCUUGUUUGUUCCCAUGGCAAGAUUAACAAAAAAGCUUGCAUAGUUUGACAAUUUCCUCUUUUAUCAGAGGGUGGCAUUCAAUCAAAAUCUACUUUGCUGUAGCUUCUGCAUAACGUUUACUUUCUAAUGCUGUUCAUUGUUAGGAUGCUAUCUUCAAAUAUGAUCAAACUGGGAUGCAGACCAACUUUUAAAAAUCAGGAAAAUCAGAGAGAAUUUUCGUGGGGUCAAAGUGUGUCUCCUUGAUCCAAAGAAAAA